rnacentral:rRNA from 1 species
GACGAACGCUGGCGGCGUGCUUAACACAUGCAAGUCGAACGGAAAGGCCCUGCUUUUGUGGGGUGCUCGAGUGGCGAACGGGUGAGUAACACGUGAGUAACCUGCCCUUGACUUUGGGAUAACUUCAGGAAACUGGGGCUAAUACCGGAUAGGAGCUCCUGCUGCAUGGUGGGGGUUGGAAAGUUUCGGCGGUUGGGGAUGGACUCGCGGCUUAUCAGCUUGUUGGUGGGGUAGUGGCUUACCAAGGCUUUGACGGGUAGCCGGCCUGAGAGGGUGACCGGCCACAUGGGGACUGAGAGACGGCCCAGACUCCUACGGGAGGCAGCAGUGGGGAAUAUGGCACAAGGGGCGGAAGCCGGAGGAAGCAACGCCGCGGGCGGGAUGACGGCCUUCGGGUUGUAAACCGCUUUCGCCUGUGACGAAGCGUGAGUGACGGUAAUGGGUAAAGAAGCACCGGCUAACUACGUG